AAAAAUGCUGUGUUUUGUAUUUGUCAUAGGCAUAGGCAAACUUUCAAACCCUUAUAAGAAAAGUGUGAUAAAAUAAAUGAUGGACAUUAUUUUGUUUUGUUUUUGGUGGUGAUGACUCAGUGCUUCAGUGUGUGUGUGUGUGUGUGUGUGUGUGUGUGUGUGUGUGUGUGUGCCCUGCUGGUCUCUGAGCUGAUUGGAUGGGGACAGGAGGCUCCAACUAGCUAGCUAACGUUACACUCCGAGGUGUGAAAGUGGAAAGUGGCAGCAAUGAACCGACCAGUUUCUUUGGAAGGUUUUGGUGGGGCUUCAUCAUCCAUGAACUUCUCCACAAGGAUAACAGAAAAUGGAGGCUCAUCCUUAGAUCUAACCGAGGAGGACUUAGACAAUCUAAGGAUUGAACUUGCAAAGAUGGAGGAUGAAAUUCAGACCUUGCGGCAGGUGCUUUUGGUCAAAGAAAAAUAUGCAGCAGACAUCAGGAGGCAGCUGGGUAUGAGUCCUCUCAGUAACAUCAAACAGAACCUGUCCAAAGGCUGGCAGGACGUCCAGAUCUCAGCCCCAUAUCUGACUGCCUCCGCCACUUUGGAGGACAUCACCCACUCCAACGUAUAUGUGAGGACACGGGAGAGUCUCUCUCAUGCAGGCCAGGUGACAUCUUCUGCACUGUCCAAUAUGGGCGUGGCCCUCACCAGGAGACUGGCAAAUAUGAGAGCUCUGCCUCUCCCGAGUCCACCACGGCAUUGGGCAAUGCAGAGCCUUUUUACAUUAAUGUUAGCCUACUCUGGGCAACAUUAUGCUACGAAGGACAGGUAAAGUGGUUGCAGUUUGAACUAGCAAAUUCUGAUUAAGGUGAGUGUAACUUAUUAUUUCAUCUUUUUCAUUCCAAUCGAUAUAAUGUUUGGCACCAAGUGCUGACAGCUAGAAGUCUGCCAGACGACACCACGUCAAAUCAUUUACCAUGAUAAGCAUAUUCAGAGAGGUUUGCGAUCUGAUCGCUUCAUUUAUAAAUUGAUUACUGAAUUGAUUACCUUUACAUGUAACUAGAAAUUUCACCUAUUUUCUAGGUGUUAGGCGUAGUGUCAGACAUUGCUCGAUAGUGCAGCUCAGCUAACCAUUGUGUGUGUGUGUGUGUGUGUGUGUGUGUGUGUGUGUGUGUGUGUGUGUGUGUGUGUGUGUGUGUGUGUGUCAGUCAAAUUUAAAGUAGAAUAUAGUGACUUUAAAGUGAGUUUCACCUUUGUACAGCUGUAGUAUCUGUUAGACGAUCAUAAAGUUAACAUGAAUAUAGUAUCGACUGUAUGAAAAACAAAAGCAGAGCUGAAAUAAUUAAUCAAUUAAUAUUAAUAUUAAUAUCAUUCAUACAAAACACAUUAUUGGAAAAGGUCACACUGGGCUCUGGCAAAUUGUGAUGGCCAUUUUUCAAUCAAACAAUUAAUCCAUUAGUCGUAAAACAAAUAAGUGACAGAUUAAUCAAUAAUGAAAAUAAUCGUCAGUUGCAGUCCUACACAAAAGAUAUAUAAAAUUUAGAGCAAAUUAAAGGGUUUUUAUAGAGCUUUUGCUGAUUCUGUAUGAUAUUCUUGUUUUUAAGCCUUACCCGUCUCAUAAUGCUCAAACUCCCUUCUUUCUGUGUCUUGCCCAGCACCCUGAGCCACACCAUGAGUGUGCCAGCUAUGAGACAUUCCUCUACAUUCAAGUCUAUUGAGGAAAUGGUCGGCAGUGUGAAGGACAAGGUGACUGGCAAUCCGACAAGUAAUGGGCUCACCUCUGGGUUUGAAAGAAGAUCCUCAC